rnacentral:lncRNA from 1 species
CAAAAGGAAAAAGCAAGGCUGUGGGAAAGAAAGCUCCGUCGUCUUAGCCACGGCCCCAACGACCUGCCUCCCAUGAGGCUUUGUGCAGGCUGGCUAAUGCGCAAGCGAGCUUGGCAGAGCUGGCCGACAAUCCUCGUGUCCUCGGUGCUGCACUGCUCCAGUAGUUACAGAAAUUAGCCACAUCGACAAUCACCCACUGCCUGCUAUCAGAGCCGCGCUAUCCACUGCACAAACAGCAACUGCAGACACCAUCAGGUCCUGCAGCUGCUUCGGCUUGUUCUUGGAGGAAGUACCUGGCCAACAGACUCUGAUCACACGUCCGAAGAAACGGACUCCUCGCCUUGCUUUGAGACGACAAGUCCCAUGCACACGAAAGACAGUUAUGCUCUUCCUGUAUGCAGUGUGACCAUACUGAAUCCUCCAUUCCUCUUAUCCGUGCUCCGAAUGAACAGUUGUCUUGCUGGCAGAGGGAUGGUGAUGACAAUAGACUCCGCCCAGCGCUGAGAGGGGGAGUGGCCGAGAGAAGGAAGUGAAACUGAAAUGAGGAGCCUGUGGGCUGAGAGGCGAGCAAAAAGAAGGAAAGACAGUGGUGAUUCUGAAGGGAGAGAAAACUGAAGUCGGCUUCGAGCGGAGGUCAUCGACAGGUUCAACCAGCAUCUAACGACGGAGCCGCUGACGGUCCCUGCUCACCUCAUGGCUCGACGACGUCUUGGAAUCCCAUGGAUCCAGCCUGCCGGAGCCCAACACCCCGAUUUGGCCUUGUCUGGUGAACAGGCCGGGCCUGGACUUGUAUGCUGGACCUUGUGAAAAGCCAGCUGGAGCAUACCACCGUGGAUCUUUCGCUCUGGUGCAGUCGACCUCGCAGGGUCUGAACGUGCGAGAGUGUGUGCGUGAGGUCUGCUAUUAAUGGACGACGCCUCCAUUUUGCCACGCGGCGUGCUCGAGCUUGGGGGCUCGAAUUCGUGGACAUCGGCUUGUCACGAGCCACAUUCGUGCUGUUGACACUUUCCUCUCGUCCAUGAAACAUCACCAAGUACUCUGUCUUGUCGGCAUGCUGUCCAUGUCUUGUCUGCAUGUCGUUAAAGCUUUUCUCAUUCGAGUUCUCUUCGAAACCCAUAAUCCGUAGCUCCCUAGUUAAAAACGGGUUAUAGAUUAAUUAUAACAUUGUCGUGAAUGUUUUGCUUGUGUCAUGUUCCCCGAUGUCCCCAAUAAAUCUGGCUGAUUCGUAUGAAGUUGCCGCUUUGAAUUGGUCCAUGCCGCGUCGAGGAACGAUUCGCUCGAUUUGGAUAUAAAAAAGAAAAUGGUUACAGACUGGUAGACUCCGCUCGGUCUCUGACAAAACCAGUCUGUAACCGGGGUCUAUUUCCCCAGCUGGCAAGGUACAGGUGUAUUUUGGUACCGUGAUUCGAGAUGCGUAACCCGAGAACUGUGCUGCACCAGCCAGAAUUAUAACCCCGGAGACGGCGGUGGUUGGGUGCGAAAACCCAAACUGGGUACGGACGGCGAUUGACGCGCUCGUCUGAGAACCCUCCACCCCGGAUCUGCA